rnacentral:rRNA from 1 species
UUUAUGGAGAGUUUGAUCCUGGCUCAGGAUGAACGCUGGCGGCGUGCCUAAUACAUGCAAGUCGAGCGAACGGACGAGAAGCUUGCUUCUCUGAUGUUAGCGGCGGACGGGUGAGUAACAAGUGGAUAACCUACCUAUAAGACUGGGAUAACUUCGGGAAACCGGAGCUAAUACCGGAU